rnacentral:siRNA from 1 species
UGAGUUGAGUUGAGUUGGCCCA